AGCGAUGAAGCCCUUACGGGGUGUAAAAGCUCUUUCGGCAGGAAAGAUAAUGACGGUACCUGCAGAAGGAAGCUCGUGGCUAACUACGUGC
rnacentral:rRNA from 1 species